AGUAACGAAGAAAUGAGAAGUGCUGCUCUUAAAUUUUAUGAAAAGUAUAAAAUUCCGAGUGUUAUGGGGUGUAUUGAUGGUACCCAUAUAAAAAUUGUGGGACCAAAACACAAUAAGCACUCAUUUUAUAAUCGAAAAGGAUACUUUAGUUUAAAUGCUCUUGUUGUUUGUGACCAAAAAAUGAGGUUUCGAUUUAUUGAUGCGUCGCAUCCAGGAGCUUGUCACGACUCUUUAGUGUGGAACGUUUCGGAACUAAAGAGACAUAUUUGCAAUAAUCGCAGCAACUUUUGGAUGUUAGGCGACGCAGGAUAUCCUCUGGAAUCCUUCUUAUUAACACCUUAUAGGACACCUGAAGAGGGAAGUGUAGAAGCAAAAUUUAAUUUAGCUCAUUCUCGGUGCCGAAAUAUUAUAGAACGUGCAAUUGGGUUGCUUAAAAGCCGAUGGAGAUGUUUGCUUGGUGCUAGAGAACUUUAUUACAGCCCACAGAAAGCAGCUAAAAUAUUCAAUGUGUGCGUAAUGUUACAUAAUUUAUGCAUUCAUUUCAAAGAUCAAUUUGCUGAUAUCGUUGAGAUACCUGAUUGUGACGAAAAGGAAUCUCUAGUG